CAAAAAAUUAAUUUUGUUGACACAAAUUUACAAAUUAAAAAACGCAAGGAUUAAGCUUGUAAUUUGGAGUAUUGGCUUGAAUCCUCGAGAACUGAAAGCUGAGGACACGUCCCGUGGCGCAAGACGAAAGGGAAGAUCCUCUCGUUUUCCGAUCAAACAACAGUAGGUUUUGCUUUGGGCUUAAUCCAACUGAAGCGGGGUCAACAAUUUUCAAUAAUGUCGGAGAAAGGCGAAAAGGGUUUUCCAGUGCAGAAGAAACCUGGAAAGUCUUCGCUCAAAUCUUUGGCUUCCAAGGAUGCUUCUCUAAAAGGAAAGGAUGACAGUUUGUCGAAGUCAAAGAAGGGAAGGAAAGUCCAGUUCGAUGCUCAAGGGUCAGUUGAUGCGCAUAUCAAUCUUUCAAUGAAAUUCGGUGGAAAAAAUGGUGACUUGGGUAAAGGAGGGAAAGGUAUAAAUGGUGGGAAGGCUUCUGUUUCAAAGGAACAACAACCGCUAGAACUGAAGAUUGAGCAAGAACUUCCCAAGAAUGUUAAAUGCCAAUGCCUUAUGGACUGUGAGGCUGCACAACUUUUACAGGGAAUCCAAGAUCAGAUGGUUCUUCUAUCAGCAGAUCCAACCAUCAAAAUCCCUACGUCAUUUGAUCGGGGGCUGCAAUAUGCUAAACGAGCCAACCACUAUGUAAAUACCGAGUCGGUUAGACCCGUUCUUGAAACCCUCAAGAAAUAUGGUGUAGCGGACAGUGAGAUAUGUGUGAUUGCUAAUGUCUGCCCAGACACUAUUGAUGAAGUUUUUGCUCUUGUUCCAUCUUUGAAGAGCAAAAGAAGCAAGCUUACCGAACCUCUGAACAACGUCUUGAGUGAGCUAGCCAAGCUAAAAUCAUCCUGAAGUAACAAGGUUGGUUGCUUACCGUUGCUGGUGCUCAGGUCCGGUUGCCUUCUCCCCUUCCUACGAAGAUUGCUUUAUGGUGCUUAGAAAGUUAAAGACCUUUUUUUCCCUUUUCAAUGCUAUUCAAUAGAGAUAUAUCUGUAUUUGCUUACUGAAAUUGUUGAUAUAUAGUGUAGAAAUAGGGGCUACUCUGCUGAGAGAAUGCCUCUCCCAGGUGGUGAAGAUCAGAUAGAAAACCACUAUUGAUGAUCCUAAUGUAAAGGGAGUCAUCUCUACUGGAUGCUACACAUGUUUUGACUAUUUUAAUACCUCUGUCUGAACCAGACACCCAUCUUCAACGA